rnacentral:rRNA from 1 species
AUGGCCGGACGCUGCGUGUACUCUGGCUUCAUGCCCGUCGUGACUCGAGCCUCCUACUCCACUGCGUGCGCGCGCUCUCUUGCCGGCCGCUCUCUGCGCGUCCGCUGCUAUCUGCGCCACCGCCAACUACUACUGCUACCUACUGCUGCGACCACUGCUGCCGCUCUCACCCCCAGGCAGACAGCCCGGCUUCCCAAGCGGGCAUGCCCUCAUGCUCGUGCCCCUCCUGCUCUGCUUCGGCCACUCCGCCUCGUGCACCGACUCGCCCCUGUCUGCAGUCGCGUCGCCUCCGGUUCGGCAGUUCCUCGUCGUCGCGCCUGUCCGACUUGCCGCGCUGGGUCCUCUGCUCCGGCUGGCCUGCCCCCUCGCGCGCGCGGCCGGCUCCAUGUAUCCCCGGCCGGACCCGGCCUCCCGCGCCUCGGCCGUCUCCCUGCGCCCGCAGAUGCCCGGCCGCGCCUGGCCGCUUUCACGUUGCACGCGCGUCGUGCUCACCUCUGCGCCCGCUCGCCGGCCUCGGGCCGGCCCCUCAGCGCCGCGCCGGGUCCUCGACGCCACGUCCCCCGCCCCGCGGCCGCGUGCCCCGCGCCGGCCGGCUUUGCCCACCUCCACCAACCGGCGCCGGAUGCCGCCCGUCGCUGCUCUCACUGCUGGGCCUCGCGCGCCGCUCCGCCUGGCCGCGUCGCCCUCACCAGGCUGGCUCCCCCAAUGCCGGGUCCUCCCAGCCUUGCCUCCUGGCCGGGUCGCCGCCUCUCCGCCUCCCGCUGGCCCCGUCCGACUCUGCCCGAGGCCGCCUGCGCCUCCGUGCGCCGUGCCGGCUCCCUUGCCGCGCCUCUGGCCGGUCAGGUCGCGCGCCUCCGCUGCCGGCUCUCGGGUCGAGCGCCGUGGCCAGUUGUGCCCCUUGCGCACCCGCCGGGUUCCCGCAUCCGGCUCCCCUGGGUCGGUUGGAGAAGAAAAAAAAGGGGGGCCGGCUGCCCGCAUGGGGCCGGCCAGAAAAGUAUCCGGGUGCUGAGAAAAAAAAGAGACAAAGAUAGAGGUCCGGCUGCCCACGUGGAGUCGGACAGAAAAAGAAACAAGAAGAAGAGAGAAAAAAAGAGAGGCAUCUGCCCGCUGUGGCCGACUGCUCGUGCAAAGGAAAAGAGGUCCGACUGA